AGUCCUUAAAAGGGGAAAUAUACACUUAAACGGACAAGUAAAGACUCUGCAAUCUGCGACCUCACCUUGACCUCCGUCACCGUGGGGCUUGACGAUCUCAAUCCCUGAGGUGAGCCAGUUGCGUUCCGUUGCCUUAGCCGCUGCAGAACUCUCGUAGAGUGGAGGCCGCCGAAUCGCCGAUCAUCCAAGGAAUUUGUGAUGGAGAAGAGCAGUGGUCAAACCGAUGGUCUUCUCCUCCCGCCAGAGAUCGUAUCCGGCAUACUGCUGAGGCUCCCGGUGAAGUCAUUGUGCAGAUUCAGACGAAUAUGCAAGGACGGCGUAUAGAUCGCGUAUAAGGAAGGGGAGAAUUUUCUUCUCCACUGACUAUCCCAAAAAUUCGGAGGACCUGCGCCACGCCAGGACGCGAGCUAUCACGGCCGAAUUACCGCCACGGUGUACUAUAUAUGUUUCAUAGUCUAUCAGUGGCUUGAUCAUCGUUGGUGCUAUUGGGGGAAUCCACAUUUGUAACCCUAGCACUGGAGAGCGUAUCACCUUUACAGCACCUUCAGCCCAAUUGAAAAGAAGUACAAGAUUCUCAACUCUUCUAUGAACUAGGACAAACCGAUGCAAGUGAUCCACAUUUUAACUCUGGUAGAGAAAGAGUGGAGGAGGAUUGAUCUCGCCGGUCUAUCCAAUGUAUGUCUUGUGAAUAGUUCAUGUAUUGACGGGUGUCAUGCAUUUGGUUGGUCUGACUGAAGACGGGAAGGCCUAUUUUUUGGUAUUUGAUGUUAGGCUGGAGAUCUUUCAAGUGAUUCCCUUCCCUCUCGAAUUCAAAUAAUGGUUGUACUUGUAGAAAUUUAAUCGAAUUCGGUGGGCAUGCUGCUUUACUUGACUAUUAGUCGGCCAUUAUGGUUGGCCUAGAAGAUGAAAUUAGAUUGUGGAUAUUGGAGGAUCUCGAUAAGCAAGUUUGGAGUUGCAAGGAAAUUAUCCCAUCUGUUGAGUUGAAGCAUCUCUAUCUCCAGUGAGCCACAUUAUUCCGUUGGUGUCAAUCACACAAGUGAGUUGGUGUUUGCACCAUUGCACUCUGGAACCGUCAUACUUGUGUUUAUGAACAGCACUUAGAGGAUGCUAGUUCGAGGAAGAUUGAGAUCUGUGGAUUAUAUGAACAACAUGCACGGACUCAUGAAUGUAAUGAUCUGGAAACAACUCGUUACCAUGUGGAAAUUGUACGAUCGCUACGAGACCUUCGUAUCGACUAGUGAGAUGCAUCCCUUUCUUGUGUUCCAUGGAAGGAUGGGGAGGAUGGAAAUAGCAGAAACUGGUGGCUCUCUUCUUGCACUUGAGAGAAAGAAGGAUGUAAAGGAUUUCUCUGCAGGUAUUUACUUAUGUCAAAAUGGCCCGACCCGAUGAAAGACAAAUGAAUGUUUUUAUGCACUUUUGGAUUGCCGAUUGUGUAAGUUCUGUUCUGAUAGCACUACUACAGGAGACCAAGGAGAUGCCUAGUUGCAGUAUUGCCCCAGCAUUUUAGGAAAUGCAUUUCAAAAAGCGUAAUUCCUUUGAUUCUCGGUCCACUUUCAAGUCAUAACUGGAACAUCAUUUGUGUUCAUCUUUGUUACUUUUGCAAAUCAUUUCAUUUUAUGAUUA